rnacentral:rRNA from 2 species
UGGCUCAGAACGAACGCUGGCGGCAGGCCUAACACAUGCAAGUCGAGCGCCCCGCAAGGGGAGCGGCAGACGGGAGAGUAACACGUGGGAACGUGCCCUUUGGUUCGGAACAACCCAGGGAAACUUGGGCUAAUACCGGAUACGCCCUUACGGGGAAAGAUUUAUUGCCGAAGGAACGGCCCGCGUCCGAUUAGCUUGUUGGUGAGGUAACGGCUCACCAAGGCGAGGAUCGGUAGCUGGUCUGAGAGGAUGACCAGCCUCACUGGGACUGAGACACGGCCCAGAAACCUACGGGAGGCAG